UACGAAGGGGGCUAGCGUUGCUCGGAAUCACUGGGCGUAAAGGGUGCGUAGGCGGGUUCUUAAGUCAGAGGUGAAAUCCUGGAGCUCAACUCCAGAACUGCCUUUGAUACUGAGAGUCUUGAGUUCGGGAGAGGUGAGUGGAACUGCGAGUGUAGAGGUGAAAUUCGUAGAUAUUCGCAAGAACACCAGUGGCGAAGGCGGCCUCACUGGCCCGAUACUGACGCUGAUGCACGAAAGCGUGGGGGAGCAAACAGG
rnacentral:rRNA from 1 species